rnacentral:rRNA from 1 species
UACGUAGGGGGCAAGCGUUGUCCGGAUUUAUUGGGCGUAAAGAGCGUGUAGGCGGUUUGGUAGGUCCGCUGUGAAAACUCGAGGCUCAACCUCGAGACGCCGGUGGAAACCAUCAGACUAGAGUCCGGAAGAGGAGAGUGGAAUUCCUGGUGUAGCGGUGAAAUGCGUAGAUAUCGGAAGGAACACCAGUGGCGAAAGCGGCUUCCUGGUCCAGCACCGACGUUCAGGCACGAAAGCGUGGGGAGCAAACAGG